rnacentral:rRNA from 1 species
AACGAACGCUGGCGGCAUGCCUAACACAUGCAAGUCGAACGAGACCUUCGGGUCUAGUGGCGCACGGGUGCGUAACGCGUGGGAACCUGCCCUUAGGUUCGGAAUAACUCCCCGAAAGGGGUGCUAAUACCGGAUAAUGUCUUCGGACCAAAGAUUUAUCGCCUUUGGAUGGGCCCGCGUUGGAUUAGCUAGUUGGUAGGGUAAAAGCCUACCAAGGAGACGAUCCAUAGCUGGUCUGAGAGGAUGAUCAGCCACACUGGGACUGAGACACGGCCCAGACUCCUACGGGAGGCAGCAGUGGGGAAUAUUGGACAAUGGGCGAAAGCCUGAUCCAGCAAUGCCGCGUGAGUGAUGAAGGCCUUAGGGUUGUAAAACUCUUUUACCCGGGAUGAUAAUGACAGUACCGGGAGAAUAAGCUCCGGCUAACUCCGUG